rnacentral:rRNA from 1 species
GACGAACGCUGGCGGCGUGCUUAACACAUGCAAGUCGAACGGAGUGGCGAACGGGUGGGUAUUACGUGAGUAACCUGCCCCCAGCUGGGGGAUAAGCCGGGGAAACUGGGUCUAAUACUGCAUAGUUGGGGAUGGGCUCGCGGCCUAUAGGCUUGUUGGUGGGGUGAUGGCCUAACAUGGCGGUGACGGGUAGCCGGCAUGAGAGGGGGGCUGUAAACAGUGGGACUGAGAUACGGCCCAGUCACAUACGAGAGGCAGAAGUGGGGGAUGUGGCACAAGGGGUGCAAGCCUCAUGCGCCGACGACGCGAGCGGGAUGAAGGCUUCAGGGUUGUAAACCUCUUCCGUCACAGAACGGGUAUGUGCAGAAGAAGCGCCGGCUAACUACGUGCCAGCAGCCGCGGUAAUAC